UACGAAGGGGGCUAGCGUUGUUCGGAAUUACUGGGCGUAAAGCGCGCGUAGGCGGUGAUCUUUGUCAGAGGUGAAAUCCCGAGGCUCAACUUCGGAAUUGCCUUUGAAACGGGAUCGCUUGAGUCCGAGAGAGGAUGGCGGAAUUCCUAGUGUAGAGGUGAAAUUCGUAGAUAUUAGGAAGAACACCGGUGGCGAAGGCGGCCAUUUGGCUCGGUACUGACGCUCAGGCGCGAAAGCGUGGGGAGCAAACAGG
rnacentral:rRNA from 1 species